UGGUCAUUGUUGUUUUCAAUUGUCAUGAGAGUGGGUUAAGUCCCGGAAAGAGCGCAACCCUUGAUUUUAGUUGCCUCAUUUAGUUGGGCACUUUAAGGUGACUGCCGGUGACAAACCGGAGGAAGGUGGGGAUGAAGUCAAAUCAUCAUGCCCCUUAUGACCUGGGGUACACACGUGCUACAAUGGACGGUACAAAGAGCUGCAAGACCGCGAGGGGGAGCUAAUUUCAUAAAACCGUUUUCAGUUCGGAUUGUAGGCUGCAACUUGCCUACAUGAAGCUGGAAUUGUUAGUAAUCGCGGAUCAGCAUGCCGCGGUGAAUACGUUCCCGGGCCUUGUACACACCGCCCGUCACACCACGAGAGUUUGUAACACCCGAAGUUGGGGGGGUAACCUUUUGGAGCCAGCCGCCUAAGGUGGACAGAUGAUUGGGGG
rnacentral:rRNA from 1 species